ACGGAAAGUCAGGGCUGGGUUAGAAGAGGAGGACUUGCAAAGGCUUCGGAAAAGAGAUCUGCAGCAUUUGCAAGCUGUUUUUAGAAAUGCCCCAAAUGAAAAAAUGCAUAAUUAAACAUGUGAAUGUUUUCACUGGGGUAUAUCUUAAAUACGGUGCUUUUUAUUUUAUUUUUUUUAUCUGGCAGUGGACUGUCUCUUUGAGCUAAAUUUGGGUGUUAAAGCUCUAAAUACUGU